rnacentral:rRNA from 1 species
GAUGAACGCUGGCUACAGGCUUAACACAUGCAAGUCGAGGGGAAACGACGGGGAAGCUUGCUUCCCGGGCGUCGACCGGCGCACGGGUGAGUAACGCGUAUCCAACCUGCCUCUGACUGAGGGAUAACCCGUCGAAAGUCGGCCUAAUACCUCAUGGUAUCGUCUGCGGGCAUCCAACGACGAUUAAAGAUUUCAUCGGUCAGGGAUGGGGAUGCGUCUGAUUAGCUUGUUGGCGGGGUAACGGCCCACCAAGGCUACGAUCAGUAGGGGUUCUGAGAGGAAGGUCCCCCACAUUGGAACUGAGACACGGUCCAAACUCCUACGGGAGGCAGCAGUGAGGAAUAUUGGUCAAUGGGCGAGAGCCUGAACCAGCCAAGUAGCGUGCAGGAAGACGGCCCUAUGGGUUGUAAACUGCUUUUAUGCGGGGAUAAAGUGAGGGACGUGUCCCUCAUUGCAGGUACCGCAUGAAUAAGGACCGGCUAAUUCCGUG